rnacentral:rRNA from 1 species
AGGGUUGGGCUGUUCGCCCAUUAAAGCGGUACGCGAGCUGGGUUCAGAACGUCGUGAGACAGUUCGGUCCCUAUCCGUCGUGGGCGUAGGAAAUUUGAGAGGAGCUGUCCUUAGUACGAGAGGACCGGGAUGGACACACCGCUGGUGUACCAGUUGUCUUGCCAAAGGCAUCGCUGGGUAGCUAUGUGUGGACGGGAUAAGUGCUGAAAGCAUCUAAGCAUGAAGCCCCCCUCAAGAUGAGAUUUCCCAUUACGCAAGUAAGUAAGAUCCCUCAAAGACGAUGAGGUAGAUAGGUUCGAGGUGGAAGUGUGGUGACACAUGGAGCUGACGAAUACUAAUCGAUCGAGGACUUAACCAAA